UUUACAAUAUGGGAUAAGAACUAUUUUCCAUCUACAGGGCUGAAGCUAAUGGUUUUGUUGCCUGAGAAAAAUGACUUUAAACUCGAAUAAGUAUCAGAAGGCUAGAGGAUGUAUAUAAAUGAAUAAGAUAUAAGAAGAAUAUGAGAGAAGCAAAGGAUCUCCAGGCAAGGGGGAAAAAUGGACACUCAAUAAGAUAGAAGAUUUCCAAGAAUUCCUGAGGAACAAGCCAGACCCAAACAAAAAACCUGAUGUCCAAACAUAAGAUCUAGGAGAAGCCUAAAAAGGUAAACAAGAAAGAGA
rnacentral:lncRNA from 1 species